UUGGUAGUACUGUUGAUAGGAUGGUUAGUUUUGGAAAGGGAAUGGUAGUAUGUGCAGAGAUUGAAAACAAGGCUACAGUGCAAACACUCUUGCUCAACCAAUUUAAGCUCAGUGUCAGCUCUUUGUGCUCUUUCCUUCUUGCUGAACCAAUGUUUCCUCAUGAGUCACCUUUGUUCCCGGUAUUAUAGUCAUGAAGAAGCUUUCCUUCACAUUUUAAUUUGCCUAACCAGCCCCAAAAGCAUCCGAUCUCACCUCUGACGCAUUGCCGGAACACCUUCCGCCGUCCGCACGUGCUCCACACUUCGCCGGAACUUCUUCUGCAGGUUUUCCAUUUGAGGCUAUGCGAUGAAGCUGAUAGAAUUGCUAGAAAUCAGAAGAUGAACAAUGGAAUAGUUAGUGACCAGUGAACCUUGAGCCCAUGGAAUAGCCCUUUAUGACAAAUAGCAGAACUCUGUUCUGUCUAGAUCUUUUGGUUGCCCAUCGUAUCGGGCAUGUGCAUUGCACAACAGCAUGCAAGGCAGUUGGGAAUCAAGUGCAUCAUCACGGUGACACAACUGAUCUACAACAAGAGAACCCAUCCAAAGUAAAAGAAAAUACAUAGUAUCCAAUCCAUCAUAUCCUAAUUAAACCCCAAACAGAUGUUCUUGCCUUGAUCGAGGGUGUAAGCUACAGUAGUUU